GCCCGGCUAGCUCAGUCGGUAGAGCACAGGAUACUUAAUCUCGGGGUCGUGGGUUUCCGAAGCCCACGUUGGGCG